AUGAAACUGAGAAGGCUUGGUGGAACUGACUUUCACAUCACCACAAAUGGAGCCAAUGCAGCCCUGUCCAGCAGCCAGCUAUCCAGACAGAACCAUUGCAACAUCCUUACCACAAGGAAACAGUGGGGAGCAUUUCUGGUUUCCACUUUCUAUAGCUUUUUCUAAGGAAACACCAGGAUUUAUAAGAAAAUGAGGUGAAGAGAUCAACUGAUUGACCCAAAGGCUUGAAGAGAGUCAUAGCCAGAGCUGGGACUCAGUUUCAGGAUUAGUCUUGUGCUCAGAACAAUUCCUCAUGCCUCCCCUCUGAAGACAAACUACUGCCAGUACCAGUCCAGCUCUGUCAUCCUUCAGGGCAUUUUCUUUCCUGAACUGAGAGGAGCUGUGAGAACAACUUUCUCACCACAGCCAACAAUCCUUCAUCUGCUGGGUUAUUAAUGCCUGGGCAAUGACUGCUCUUGGAGCAGUCUAUUUGGAUAAUUGGGCUUUAAAAAUGUGCUUUGAGGAAAGUGUUGCUUUUUGACUAAUGAAUGUUUACAGGAAUAAAUAUGUUAAAAUAAUGCAUCAGUAUUCUUCUCAUAAAUAGCUGCUCUCAUUUAUAGCCAUUUUCUGAAACCAGGGAAUCAACAGGAGAGGCAGAUGAAACAACUGUAA